GUCAGGGAAGAAGGCGUUUUUGGGUGCUGCAUCCUAGGAGGUGGGAGAUCUUUCUCAAAUCCAUCUUCUCAACUGGCUAAAAUUAGGGGUUUGUAUCUCAGGAAAGAUAUGUAACUAUAUGUGGGAAAAUAGGAAUUAGAGAGGGGUAUGGAAGAGGAAUUGGUAAACAGGAAUUAGGGAAAAGAAAGGAAGAGGAGUUGGAAAACAUGAAUCAUGAUGUAUGAGGGGUCUGACAGAUCAUUGUCUGGAUGCAGUGAUUUGCUUGUAGAUUGGGAAAUCCAAGCUCAAGAUGCAAGCAAUCUGGUGUCUGAUUAGGACCCUCUUCUUGAUUUGUGGGUGACCAUCUUCUUCUCGUAUUCCCAUAUGGUGGAGAGCAAAUAAAGAGAAGUUUCAGACAUACACAUUCCUUAAAGCAUCAGAAGGGUUGGCGAGAAAUUUCAGAAGUCUGGACAUGAAAUAUGAGUCUUAGGAAAGGUAAGAUAGCAUUCAUUAUUUAAAACCAGUAGCCUCAGACAAUACCCCAAACUGCAUAUUACAUAGGUAGCUGAAAAUGCCAGUUCAUAUGAGUAAUCGAUAUUUUUGCCAUUAGCCCUAAUUGUGAUCCAAAUUAGCCUGUCAGUUCUAAACCCUGAAUUGCUAUCCUAACAUCAUGGAAUUCUUUGGCAAACUAGAAAUAACCAG
rnacentral:lncRNA from 10 species